rnacentral:rRNA from 1 species
UACGAAGGGGGCUAGCGUUGUUCGGAAUUACUGGGCGUAAAGCGCGCGCAGGCGGUCCUUCAAGUCAGAGGUGAAAGCCCAGAGCUCAACUCUGGAACGGCCUUUGAAACUAGAGGACUUGGGUACGGGAGAGGUGAGUGGAAUUCCGAGUGUAGAGGUGAAAUUCGUAGAUAUUCGGAAGAACACCAGUGGCGAAGGCGGCUCACUGGCCCGUUACCGACGCUCAGGCGCGACAGCGUGGGGAGCAAACGGG